CUGACCAGAAACUGCUGCUGGAACAGACUCUUCAACUAACCAUCAGAACAAGAUGGCUGCCGGUCUUCUCUUCUCUCUGCUUCUUGGUCUGAGCUUUGGACUCUGGGAUGGAGCUGAUGCAUGUCAACUGAAAGUUGCCGACUGCGAUAAGUGCACCCAGGUUGGAGUUGGCUUGAGGGUCGGUGUUUCCUGCAUGUGAACAUUGAAAUGACCUGGGGUG